UGCCUAGAAUGCAAGUCGAGCGGAAGCAGCAAUGCUUUAGCGGCGAACGGUCGCGUAACACGUAGGCAACCUGCCCGAAAGACUGGGACAACACCCCGAAAGGGGUGCUAAUACCAGAUGUGACCACCCCCUCUCCUGGGGGGGUGAUUAAAGCGAGAAAUCGGCUUUCGGAGGGGCCUGCGGCCUAUCAGCUAGUUGGUGAGGUAACGGCUCACCAAGGCGACGACGGGUAGCUGGUCUGAGAGGACGAUCAGCCGGAUUGGGACUGAGAUACGGCCCAAACUCCUACGGGGGGCAGCAAUUAGGAAUCUUGCGCAAUGGGCGAAAGCCUGACGCAGCGACGUCGCGUGGGGGAGGAAGGCCUUCGGGUUGUAAACCCCUUUUACUGAGGAAAAAACAAAUGACGGUACUCAGUGAAUAAGCCCCGGCUAACUCCGUGCCAGCAGCCGCGGUAAUACGGAGGGGGCGAGCGUUGUCCGAAUUUACUGGGCGUAAAGAGCGCGUAGGCGGGAUGGUAAGUCUGUUGUGAAAGCCCGUUGCUUAACGACGGAGGGUCGAUGGAUACUGCCAUUCUUGAAGGUGCUAGGGGGAGAUGGAAUUACAGGUGUAGCGGUGAAAUGCGUAGAUAUCUGUAGGAACACCAGUGGCGAAGGCGAUCUCCUGGGGGCAUUCUUGACGCUGAGGCGCGAAAGCUGGGGGAGCAAACGGGAUUAGAUACCC
rnacentral:rRNA from 1 species